rnacentral:lncRNA from 1 species
UGGAAAUCAUGCUAAUACAACCAAAGCACACAUAUCAUGGAUAGAAUGAUUUCCUACAAUGAGGACCGAGCACAAGGUUGUGCUUGAGUUUGCCAACAAGUGCUUAUUGCCAAGACAGGAGAUAAGGCACACUGCUAACUACAUGGAUCUGGUUCUUAUGGAGUGCCUGGAGAGAGGAAAGCAAAUCAGUUGACCUGCUUUCAUUGUCAAGUUUCUAGACAGGGUCAUAAAUGGCUGAAAGGCUCAUGGUACACCAUAUGGCUUUAUUCUAACCAUAGCUAUAAACAGGCUAAAUGUACCUCUAAAGAAAUGACUUGCCCUCAUAGUCAAACUGCUAGACAGGGUCAUAAAUGGUUCCAAGGCUCAUGCUACUCCAUAUGAGUUCAUACUAACCACAAUUUUGGACAGAAUGAAUGUGUCUGAAGAAACGGGAAAUGACCUCGAUCAAGGAACACUUUGGCAUCAAAACUCUUCUUGCUUGUGACUAUCCAGUCAAUUCCAUCCCAGUUGAACCUGGUUCAUCUCUGAGGACACCCAUCAACAGCAAAGUUAGGACUCUGGUUCAGGAAUGUGCAGCUAAGGAUGCUGAAAUUGCUAGGCUCAAGGCUAGUGUGGUUGAAGUGAAAACUGAGAGGGAUGGUCUCAAAAUUGAGCUUACCAAAGAAAAGGAGAAGAAUGCGGAAUUUUUUAGAACAUGCUGAAUCUUCUCCAAACUCAAUCCUCCAGUUCCUUCAAGCCUUAGGACCCCACGCCUUUGUCUUCUGAACUUGUCUAGUGCCCCAGUGACCUAGAUUAGGGGUUUUUUUGUUUUUUGCUCAUGGUUUGAAUGUUUUUAUUUCUUUUUGUGGAUUUUUAAUGGCAACGUAUCUCUAUCAAUGACAACUGCUAUUUUCUCUUGUGUA